GCGUCAGUGUGAAGGGAAGGCUAAGGACGCAUCGGUGCUGGAGAGUUGAGAAUAUGCCUUCCCCUCCACCCCCAACCCAGUCACCUUAUUUGAAAAAAAAUUAAAAAACACCUUUUAUUUAAAAACCUAACCCUGGAAGUUUGCUCGCUAAAUUGCAGAGGGUCCCAGUUUCAUUCAUUCUCCCUCACAGGGAAGGCAUUCUCUUCCUCUUCCUCCAGCUGCCUGAAAAUCAUAUGCGUGGUUUUUCCUGUUUCCUGCUCUGUAGCUGACAUCAGGGGAGCAACGUGAACACAGGAAAAUGGAAAUCAACAUUUGAAACUUUUAAAUGGAAGCUUUAUUGGGGUUCCACAUAUGGAAAACUGCAAAUAGCAGAAGUAUGUGACUCAAUAAAUUAUUCUGGAGUGACCACAUCCUCUAACUGCCUCCCAGGACAAGACGGAGAAUGUGAACAAUGCUCCUGAAGGCCCCUUUCCCUCAAAGAAUCACUGCAAUUGAAGGAAAAAUGCUCCAUGUCCCCUCUGCCAGUUGGUGUUUAUCAAAGGACAACGGAGGAAGAGAGACAAAGUGCCUGGAUGUGUGUGUUAAUCAAGAGUUGUCAGGACCCUGCCUCUAAAAGAAAGCGCUAAAAUGAUGCUUUUGACAAGACUUUUCUCAAAGUGGAUGCAGUCUAAGGGUUGGAAAACAAGGCCCAAUCAGGCUAGGUCUGACUUGUCGCCUGCUUUUGUAAAUAAAGUUUUAUUGGCUCAC
rnacentral:lncRNA from 10 species